UAGCUCAGUGGUCGAGCACUGGCUUUGAAAGCCACUGGUCGGUGGCUCAAAUCCACC
rnacentral:tRNA from 1 species